GGAGGAGAGACGGGUUACAACUGUUCUGGGGGAGGAGAGACAGGUUACAACUGUUCUGGAGGAGGAGAGACAGGUUACAACUGUUCUGGAGGAGGAGAGACAGGUUACAACUGUUCUGGAGGAGGAGAGACAGGUUACAACUGUUCUGGGGGAGGAGAGACAGGUUACAACUGUUCUGGAGGAGGAGAGACAGGUUACAACUGUUCUGGAGGAGGAGAGACAGGUUACAACUGUUCUGGAGGAGGAGAGACAGGUUACAACUGUUCUGGAGGAGGAGAGACAGGUUACAACUGUUCUGGAGGAGGAGAGACAGGUUACAACUGUUCUGGAGGAGGAGAGACAGGUUACAACUGUU